UACGUAGGGUGCAAGCGUUAAUCGGAAUUACUGGGCGUAAAGCGUGCGCAGGCGGUUAUGUAAGACCAAUGUGAAAUCCCCGGGCUCAACCUGGGAACUGCAUUUGUGACUGCAUAGCUAGAGUACGGUAGAGGGGGAUGGAAUUCCGCGUGUAGCAGUGAAAUGCGUAGAUAUGCGGAGGAACACCGAUGGCGAAGGCAAUCCCCUGGACCUGUACUGACGCUCAUGCACGAAAGCGUGGGGAGCAAACAGG
rnacentral:rRNA from 1 species